rnacentral:rRNA from 1 species
UAAUACAUGCAAGUCGAACGGUCUUUCUAUGGAAGCUUGCUUCCACUGAGAAGAUAGUGGCGAACGGGUGAGGUAACACGUGGGGUAACCUGCCCAUAAGAGGGGGGAUAACAUCCGGAAACGGGUGCUAAUACCGCAUAGUUUUCUUGAUCGCAUGAUUGAGAAAGGAAAGACGGCCUUUGUGCUGUCGCUUAUGGAUGGACCCGCGGCGUAUUAGUUAGUUGGUGAGGUAACGGCUCACCAAGACGAUGAUACGUAGCCGACCUGAGAGGGUGAUCGACCACAUUGGGACUGAGACACGGCCCAAACUCCUACGGGAGGCAGCAGUAGGGAAUCUUCCGCAAUGGACGAAAGUCUGACGGAGCAACGCCGCGUGAGUGAAGAAAGGUUUUCGGAUCGUAAAACUCUGUUGUCAGAGAAGAACAAGUUGGAGAGUAACUGCUCCAGCCUUGACGGUAUCUGACCAGAAAGCCACGGCUAACUACGUGCCAGCCGCUGC